rnacentral:tRNA from 1 species
UCCCUCAUAGCUUAAUUGGUAAAUCAUCUGCUUGCAAUGCAAUGCAGGAGACCCAGGUUUGAUUCCUGGGUUGGGAA